GAUGACCGGCCGGACACGACUGUGCCCGGCCCACAAGUGGAGGCUCCGAUCUCCCACCUGACCGCCCUCCGGGCGGCGGGUCACCGGUCAGGCGGUCCCCAUCGUUCCGUACGGACGAUGGAACCGCCCGAUGUGCGCCCCGCGGGUUCCGCGGCGGUGCUCCGGUAUUCGAGGAGCUGCCGCCUGUGUCCCGUCCGGGGCAUUUUUU
rnacentral:ncRNA from 1 species